AGCGAACGCUGGCGGCAGGCCUAACACAUGCAAGUCGAACGAAACCUUCGGGUUUAGUGGCGGACGGGUGAGUAACACGUGGGAACGUGCCCUUUGGUUCGGAACAACUCAGGGAAACUUGAGCUAAUACCGGAUGUGCCCUUCGGGGGAAAGAUUUAUCGCCAUUGGAGCGGCCCGCGUAGGAUUAGCUAGUUGGUGGGGUAAUGGCCCACCAAGGCUCCGAUCCUUAGCUGGUCUGAGAGGAUGAUCAGCCACACUGGGACUGAGACACGGCCCAGACUCCUACGGGAGGCAGCAGUGGGGAAUCUUGCGCAGUGGGCGAAAGCCUGACGCAGCCAUGCCGCGUGAAUGAUGAAGGUCUUAGGAUUGUAAAAUUCUUUCACCGGGGACGAUAAUGACGGUACCCGGAGAAGAAGCCCCGGCUAACUUCGUGCCAGCCGCCGCGGUAACAC
rnacentral:rRNA from 1 species